rnacentral:rRNA from 1 species
UUGACGGAGAGUUUGAUCCUGGCUCAGGACGAACGCUGGCGGCGUGCUUAACACAUGCAAGUCGAACGCUGAAGCUUGGUGCUUGCACUGGGUGGAUGAGUGGCGAACGGGUGAGUAAUACGU